AAUUACUCUACCACGUCGUUUCGAACGUAUUUUCCACUGUUCUUAUUCAGAUAUGAGCCAAUAACAAAGAGCAGCUGCUCUUUUAAGGCAGGCAGCAUAUUUGUUGAAUGGCAACACAUGUGACAGGAGUACACAAUACCAGCACCUGCACCAGUAACCUCUGUCAGUAGCACUAGUGCUGCAAAGGCAAUUUUUCACCCGACAGUAAAAGGAGGCAUGGGUAUGCAAAUACAGGAACUGUGGCAGUGUCAGCACUGGACUAUUACACCCAGGUGUAAUCAGGUUCCUGGUUACAACUAAUGACCACCUGUUGAAGGAGCUAGACGUUACCAGGGAGAGACACCAGCACAAAGAUGAAUCAGAUUAACUGGAGCUACAAGCAUCUUAAGAAAACC